rnacentral:rRNA from 1 species
AACGAACGCUGGCGGCAUGCCUAACACAUGCAAGUCGAACGAGACCUUCGGGUCUAGUGGCGCACGGGUGCGUAACGCGUGGGAACCUGCCCUUAGGUUCGGAAUAACUCCCCGAAAGGGGUGCUAAUACCGGAUAAUGUCUUCGGACCAAAGAUUUAUCGCCUUUGGAUGGGCCCGCGUUGGAUUAGCUAGUUGGUAGGGUAAAAGCCUACCAAGGCGACGAUCCAUAGCUGGUCUGAGAGGAUGAUCAGCCACACUGGGACUGAGACACGGCCCAGACUCCGACGAGAGGCAGCAGUGGGGAAUAUUGGACAACGGGCGAAAGCCUGAUCCAGCAAUGCCGCGUGAGUGAUGAAGGCCUUAGGGUUGUAAAGCUCUUUUACCCGGGAUGAUAAUGACAGUACCGGGAGAAUAAGCUCCGGCUAACUCCGUG